GUUCCUGUGGUUUUAUGUGUCUUGUGUGGGGUGGUUGUUGAUUGUUCC
rnacentral:tRNA from 1 species